UACGGGGGGGGCAAGCGUUGUUCGGAAUUACUGGGCGUAAAGGGCGCGUAGGCGGUCUGCUAAGUUGGAUGUGAAAACUCUGGGCUUAACCCAGAGCCUGCAUUCAAUACUGACAGGCUAGAGUUCUGGAGGGGAUAGCGGAAUUCCUGGUGUAGCGGUGAAAUGCGUAGAUAUCAGGAGGAACACCGGUGGCGAAGGCGGCUAUCUGGACAGAGUCUGACGCUGAGGCGGCGAAAGCCAGGGGAGCAAACGGG
rnacentral:rRNA from 1 species